CAGCGGAAGUGAAACCGUCACAGCGGAAGUGAAAACGUCACAGCGGAAGUGAAAACGUCACAGUGGUACUGUUCUUGCUCCUUGGGAAAUGGUGAAAGAAUGACACGGACCGUCAAUAGAGCCUGUAACGAACACAAGUUUACACCUUCUUCCUUUGAGAGAACCCAUCACUGUGUGAGUCGCUGUGACUCCCACAGCUGCAUCCGUCCUAGCCCAGGAAGAAGAGCAGGACCCGCAGAAUGGAGACCAGAGCUGACUGACAUGUCCCGCUCGAUAUGCUUCCCGCUAUUGGCCUGUCUGCUCAUCUCUGUAGUUUCUCGCGGUGGCGAUUCAACCGCAAAACUGGACAACUCUAUCAGGAAUUAUAAUUUUCUGUGCUACGUUUAACUUUGGCUAGGGAUUUAUUUCCCUUUGAAUCUUUGGGUUGGACAAACAUUUAAUCAUCCCACCGUUCAAAAGUUGUCGUUGCUUAUGUGGCAUAGGCGGGCGUGGCUGCUAUGAUGAGCAAGGAUGGGGUGGAGAGAUGAGAAUGAAAGAGAAGCAGAAUGGUUUGAGCACUGUGAAGAGAGGUAGAGCCAGAGAUGCGAAAUGGUGGGGGACAGCCAGAUGUGAGUAGCCUGAGAUGCCACCUGAGGCCAUGGUGAGGUCCUGGCCAUCCUGCCACCGAGGCCGUGUCUGUGUCUCAGACCUUUUGUCUAUUCGUGAUCCAUGUUACCACCAAAGGCCAUGUGGAUGACCCUGGUCUGGGUUGCUGUCAGGGGCCAUGUUUGAUGCCCAAGGACUGUACAGAGUAGUUGAUCACCUCAUCUCGGCACACAGUAGAGCUGGCCCUGGUGGCAGGGUAUGGGUGAGCUGGCCCUGCCCCUUGUGGUUGAGUGGUGGCAGUGGGCACAGGAGAGAUAACGCCCUCCAUCCCCUGUGGCAGGCUGGAGAGCAGGUUCUGCCCCUCACUAGGGCAGUGAUGGAGAACUGGUCCUGAUGGCUUGGGUGCAGAAAGCUUGUCCUAGCAGGCAGGAGAGCUCACUCACUCCUCACUAGGCAAAGCAGGAGAUCUGACCCUGGCAGUACAGGUCUAGGAGAUCUUGCUGGUAGGCUAAUUCAGUUCCCACCCAGCCCAGAUCCAGAACUUUGAAUUGGACCAUCCCAACGUUCACCCCAUCUAUGAACUGAGAGAGUAUGUGUAGGGGCUGCUGGUCCUGUCAAAUCGAAGCUGCAGGAUCUCCAUGACACAGAGGUGGCUGACUGCCAAACGGGGAGUGGUAGGAAAUCUGUUUCAUGCCUUCAAUAUAUAAAAGGUAGAAAGAUCAUGAAGUAGCCCGAAGCAGAUAAAUAUUGACCCAGUAGAACAUGCGUGCUACCAAGAAUUAGAAUUAAUUUUGUCACGGGACGAGGCCAGGUACAAAUAGGUAGUUCUUCAGCGGCUGUAACUGAACGACAAGAUAAUUCUAUCCAUUUAAUAUUGAAGUGAUGUUGACAGCAUCGUUCUUCUCAGGUUGGAAACAGGACAGCGCCUGGGCCUCUUCUGCUUCAGCCUGUUCCGCCAGUGGGUGAUGGAUUUCCCUCUGACUAAUCGCUGUCACAUUAACCCGCAGUAUUUCAUCCUUCAGUGCUGUCAAGAUAAUGACGAUAAUCCAAGUGGCUCAUUGUAGGUGAACUCGGAGCCAGAAGAGGGACACGCUGUCUGGAACCGCAGGCUGUGGACCCCCUAAGCUGUGAGGGCUGAGAACCGAAUUCCGGUCCUCUGCAAGGGCAGCAAGUGCCGUUGCCACAGCCUUUUUGUUUGUUUGUUUGUUUGUUUGUAUGUUUGACUUUUUUAUGAAAAGCAACUCCAUGUACAAAUGAUACCAUCCAAGGUUUUUCUUUCUCUGUAUGGAUCACUUCGUUUGCAUAACGACAUCCAUAAAGCUUAUUUGUUAUACGGCCAACGGCAAGAUCUCAUUCUUUCCAAGGCUGAAUAAUAUUCCACUAUAUUUAAUACAAUGUACUAUUUAUUUAUUCACCAACAGAGUUACAUUGAUGCCAUACCUUGGUCUAUUAUAGAUAACAUUAAAAUGAGAAUUAAAGUGCAGAUGUGUUUUUGAUGUAUCAAUUCCAAUCUCUUUCUCUCUCUCUCUCUCUCUCUCUCUCUCUCUCUCUCUCACACACACACACACACACACACACACACA
rnacentral:sRNA from 1 species